CACACCUAAAGCCAAGAGAGAAAAUUGUGGGAUUUGUGUAGUUUUGUGUGGUUUAAGGCUUGAAGUGUGUGCAAGGAAGUAUUUGGUAAAAGCUCGAUUUCGAUGCUAAUGGAAAGUCCAAGUUAUGAACAGAGAGACGUAGGUGGCCGGGAUGGGAUCUAGGAAUGCAUUAGGACAUUUCAUUUAUAUUACCCAAAAUUUUCAGUUAUUGUAUCUUUUACAAUUAAAUGACCGUUUCCGCAUUUAUUAAAAACUCUGAUAUUUUGAAACCAUUAUUAUUUUAUUUAUUUAAA